UACGAAGGGGGCUAGCGUUGCUCGGAAUCACUGGGCGUAAAGCGCACGUAGGCGGGUUCUUAAGUCAGGGGUGAAAUCCUGGAGCUCAACUCCAGAACUGCCUUUGAUACUGGGAAUCUCGAGUCCGGGAGAGGUGAGUGGAACUGCGAGUGUAGAGGUGAAAUUCGUAGAUAUUCGCAAGAACACCAGUGGCGAAGGCGGCUCACUGGCCCGGUACUGACGCUGAAGUGCGAAAGCGUGGGGAGCAAACAGG
rnacentral:rRNA from 1 species